GGUUAAGCGACUAAGCGUACACGGUGGAUGCCUAGGCAAUCAGAGGCGAUGAAGGACGUGCUAAUCUGCGAUAAGCGUCGGUAAGGUGAUAUGAACCGUUACAACCGACGAUUUCCGAAUGGGGAAACCCAGUGCAAUCCGUUGCACUAUCGUUUGAUGAAUACAUAGUCAAACGAAGCGAACCGGGGGAACUGAAACAUCUCAGUACCCCGAGGAAAAGAAAUCAACCGAGAUUCCCCUAGUAGCGGCGAGCGAACGGGGAGCAGCCCAGAGUCUUAAUCAGCAUUAGCAUCAGGAGAACGGUCUGGAAAGUCCGGCAGUAAAGGGUGAUAGCCCCGUAUCCGAAGGUGUUAGUGUUGUGAACUCGACGAGUAGGGCGGGACACGUGUUAUCCUGUCUGAAUAUGGGGGGACCAUCCUCCAAGGCUAAAUACCCCUGAUUGACCGAUAGUGAACCAGUACCGUGAGGGAAAGGCGAAAAGAACCCCGGCGAGGGGAGUGAAAUAGAACCUGAAACCGUGUACGUACAAGCAGUGGGAGCCUUGAUUUAUCAGGGUGACUGCGUACCUUUUGUAUAAUGGGUCAGCGACUUAUAUUCUGUAGCAAGGUUAACCGUAUAGGGGAGCCGUAGGGAAACCGAGUCUUAACUGGGCGAAUAAGUUGCAGGGUAUAGACCCGAAACCCGGUGAUCUAGCCAUGGGCAGGUUGAAGGUUGGGUAACACUAACUGGAGGACCGAACCGACUAAUGUUGAAAAAUUAGCGGAUGACUUGUGGCUGGGGGUGAAAGGCCAAUCAAACCGGGAGAUAGCUGGUUCUCCCCGAAAGCUAUUUAGGUAGCGCCUCGUGAACUCAUCUUCGGGGGUAGAGCACUGUUUCGACUAGGGGGUCAUCCCGACUUACCAACUCGAUGCAAACUACGAAUACCGAAGAAUGUUAUCACGGGAGACACACGGCGGGUGCUAACGUUCGUCGUGAAGAGGGAAACAACCCAGACCGCCAGCUAAGGUCCCAAAGUCAUAGUUAAGUGGGAAACGAAGUGGGAAGGCUCAGACAGCCAGGAUGUUGGCUUAGAAGCAGCCAUCAUUUAAAGAAAGCGUAAUAGCUCACUGGUCGAGUCGGCCUGCGCGGAAGAUGUAACGGGGCUAAACUAUGCACCGAAGCUGCGGCAGCGAUAUGUAAAUAUUGUUGGGUAGGGGAGCGUUCUGUAAGCCUGUGAAGGUGUGCUGUGAGGCAUGCUGGAGGUAUCAGAAGUGCGAAUGCUGACAUAAGUAACGAUAAUGCGGGUGAAAAACCCGCACGCCGGAAGACCAAGGGUUCCUGUCCAACGUUAAUCGGGGCAGGGUGAGUCGACCCCUAAGGCGAGGCAGAAAUGCGUAGUCGAUGGGAAACGGGUUAAUAUUCCCGUACUGGUGAUAAUUGCGAUGGGGGGACGGAGAAGGCUAGGCUAUCCGGGCGACGGUUGUCCCGGUUUAAGGAUGUAGGCAGGUGAAUUAGGCAAAUCCGGUUCACUACAUGCUGAGGUCCGACGACGAGUCACUACGGUGAUGAAGUAGCUCAUGCCCCGCUUCCAGGAAAAGCCUCUAAGCUCUAGAUUAUCAUUAAUCGUACCCCAAACCGACACAGGUGGUCAGGUAGAGAAUACUCAGGCGCUUGAGAGAACUCGGGUGAAGGAACUAGGCAAAAUGGUGCCGUAACUUCGGGAGAAGGCACGCUGGCAUUAGGUGAAGUGAUUUACUCAUGGAGCUGAAGCCAGUCGCAGAUACCAGCUGGCUGCAACUGUUUAUUAAAAACACAGCACUGUGCAAACACGAAAGUGGACGUAUACGGUGUGACGCCUGCCCGGUGCUGGAAGGUUAAUUGAUGGGGUUAUCCGUAAGGAGAAGCUCUUGAUCGAAGCCCCAGUAAACGGCGGCCGUAACUAUAACGGUCCUAAGGUAGCGAAAUUCCUUGUCGGGUAAGUUCCGACCUGCACGAAUGGCGUAAUGAUGGCCAGGCUGUCUCCACCCGAGACUCAGUGAAAUUGAACUCGCUGUGAAGAUGCAGUGUACCCGCGGCAAGACGGAAAGACCCCGUGAACCUUUACUAUAGCUUGACACUGAACAUUGAGCCUUGAUGUGUAGGAUAGGUGGGAGGCUUUGAAGCGUGGACGCCAGUCUGCGUGGAGCCAACCUUGAAAUACCACCCUUUAAUGUUUGAUGUUCUAACGUUGCCCCAUUAUCUGGGGUGCGGACAGUGUCUGGUGGGUAGUUUGACUGGGGCGGUCUCCUCCCAAAGAGUAACGGAGGAGCACGAAGGUUGGCUAAGCAUGGUCGGACAUCAUGCGGUUAGUGCAAAGGCAUAAGCCAGCUUGACUGCGAGAGUGACGGCUCGAGCAGGUACGAAAGUAGGUCAUAGUGAUCCGGUGGUUCUGAAUGGAAGGGCCAUCGCUCAACGGAUAAAAGGUACUCCGGGGAUAACAGGCUGAUACCGCCCAAGAGUUCAUAUCGACGGCGGUGUUUGGCACCUCGAUGUCGGCUCAUCACAUCCUGGGGCUGAAGUAGGUCCCAAGGGUACGGCUGUUCGCCGUUUAAAGUGGUACGCGAGCUGGGUUUAGAACGUCGUGAGACAGUUCGGUCCCUAUCUGCCGUGGGCGUUGGAAGAUUGAAAGGGGCUGCUCCUAGUACGAGAGGACCGGAGUGGACGCACCACUGGUGUUCGGGUUGUCAUGCCAAUGGCAUUGCCCGGUAGCUAAGUGCGGAAAAGAUAACCGCUGAAAGCAUCUAAGCGGGAAACUUGCCUUGAGAUGAGUCUUCCCUGACCCUUUAAGGGUCCUAAAGGAACGUUUAAGACUAAGACGUUGAUAGGUUGGGUGUGUAAGCGUAGCGAUACGUUGAGCUAACCAAUACUAAUGAACCGUGAGGCUUAACCUG
rnacentral:rRNA from 1 species